CCUGGGCUGUGUAAUUAGCAACUGCUACUCAGGUUUAUAUUCUGAAAUAUAUAUCUAUAAUUCAAGUUAAAUAGAGGUCAGAUUUCUAUAGAAGAAUGUUACUUAAUUUUCAGUAGUAAAACACUAAAUUAGAUAUGCAGCUUUUACACAUCUGCUCAGAAAAGCACUACAAAAUAAUAAAUGUUAUAAAAUAAAAAUUAGAAAAUAUUAGUAACUCGGAGAAAACGCUAUAACUAUUUUGUUCCCGGUGGGAACUACGAAGGAGAACAGUCAUUUCAUCAAACACGAGGAAUGUUUUCAAACAAUCCUCGCCUGUGUUCUCUCUGGUCAGUAAACAAUGAUGAGAUAACUAACUUCCUCUGCUAUGCCCUCGUGGGGACCGCGCACUGCACUGAGGGACUUGGGAAACGGCUUUAAAUAGUGUCCUCCGGCAGGCUGGAAACCGAGGCUCCUCUGUGAGCAAAGCCUUGCUCCCGGUGUGCAGAGACGGAGCAGAGGGCCCUGGUCUCAGGCCCCCUCUGCUGUGGCCCUCAGGACGUCUCCAGGGUGAGCCGCGCCACUGCCUUCCUGCCGUGCUGCUGGGUCCCAAGAUCGCUGGAUGGGUAAACCCUCACAGAGCCAUACACCACCUCAGUUCUCAACACCGCAG
rnacentral:lncRNA from 1 species